GCGUUGUCCGGAAUUAUUGGGCGUAAAGAGCUCGUAGGCGGUUUGUCGCGUCUGCUGUGAAAACCCGAGGCUCAACCUCGGGCCUGCAGUGGGUACGGGCAGACUAGAGUGCGGUAGGGGAGAAUGGAAUUCCUGGUGUAGCGGUGGAAUGCGCAGAUAUCAGGAGGAACACCGAUGGCGAAGGCAGUUCUCUGGGCCGUUACUGACGCUGAGGAGCGAAAGCGUGGGGAGCGAACAGGAUUAGAUACCCUGGUAGUCCACGCCGUAAACGUUGGGAACUAGAUGUGGGGACCUUUCCACGGUCUCCGUGUCGCAGCUAACGCAUUAAGUUCCCCGCCUGGGGAGUACGGCCGCAAGGCUAAAACUCAAA
rnacentral:rRNA from 1 species